rnacentral:miRNA from 1 species
UCCAUCACUUUUCCUUGACCUAUCUAGCUAUUUGCCUUUAUGAAAUAUCUUUGCGCAAGGUUUAUUAUUUACGAGAUACCCUAGAUAGCGUUUAGAAAAUAGAAUAUAGAAUUUUGGAAGACAAAUAGCUAGAUAGGUCAAGGAAAAGUGAUGGA